AGAGUUUGAUCCUGGCUCAGAACGAACGCUGGCGGCGUGCUUAACACAUGCAAGUCGAACGCGAAAGGGGCUUCGGCCCUGAGUAAAGUGGCGCACGGGUGAGUAACGCGUAGAUAACCUGUCUUUGUGUCUGGAAUAAUACACCGAAAGGGGUACUAAUACCGGAUAUUCUUGCUUUUCAUAAGUUGAGUAAGGAAAGGUGGCCUCUGGUAUAAGCUACUGCAUAAAGAGGGGUCUGCGUACCAUUAGCUAGUAGGUGGGGUAAUGGCCUACCUAGGCGACGAUGGUUAGCGGGUCUGAGAGGAUGAUCCGCCACACUGGCACUGGAACACGGGCCAGACUCCUACGGGAGGCAGCAGUGAGGAAUAUUGCGCAAUGGGGGCAACCCUGACGCAGCGACGCCGCGUGAGUGAGGAAGGCCUUCGGGUCGUAAAGCUCUGUCAAAGGGAAAGAAGUGCAUGGUGGUUAAUACCUGCCAUGUUUGACGGUACCCUUAAAGGAAGCACCGGCUAACUCCGUGCCAGCAGCCGCGGUAAUACGGAGGGUGCAAGCGUUGUUCGGAAUUACUGGGCGUAAAGGGCGCGUAGGCGGUUUGAUAAGUCAGAUGUGAAAGCCCACGGCUUAACCGUGGAAGUGCAUUUGAUACUGUUAGACUUGAGUACCAGAGGGGAAAGUGGAAUUCCCGGUGUAGAGGUGAAAUUCGUAGAUAUCGGGAGGAAUACCGGUGGCGAAGGCGACUUUCUGGCUGGAUACUGACGCUGAGGCGCGAAAGCGUGGGGAGCAAACAGGAUUAGAUACCCUGGUAGUCCACGCUGUAAACGAUGUCAACUAGAUGUAGGGGGUGUUGAUCCCUUCUGUGUCGCAGCUAACGCAUUAAGUUGACCGCCUGGGGAGUACGGUCGCAAGAUUAAAACUCAAAGGAAUUGACGG
rnacentral:rRNA from 1 species